CGAGAAAGCCCGCAAGGGUGAGUAAAGCGGCGCACGGGUGCGUAACACGUGGGUAAUCUGCCCUGAAGUCCGGAAUAACUCGCCGAAAGGCGUGCUAAUGCCGGAUGAGGCCACGGGAGCCUCGGCUCCUGAGGGAAAAGGUGGCCUCUGUAAACAAGCUAUCGCUCUAGGAUGAGCCCGCGGCCCAUCAGCUCGUUGGCGGGGUAAUGGCCCACCAAGGCUACGACGGGUAGCUGGUCUGAGAGGACGAUCAGCCACACUGGAACUGAGACACGGUCCAGACUCCUACGGGAGGCAGCAGUGGGGAAUCUUGCGCAAUGGGCGAAAGCCUGACGCAGCAACGCCGCGUGUGUGAUGAAGGUCUUCGGAUCGUAAAGCACUGUCGCGAGGGACG
rnacentral:rRNA from 1 species